UGUGAGGUGGGGGGUCCAUCCCAGUCCAAUGUGAGGUGGGGGGUCCAUCCCAUCCAAUGUGAGGUGGGGGGUCUCAUCCCAGUCCAAUGUGAGGUGGGGGGGUCUCAUCCCAGUCCAAUGUGAGGUGGGGGAGUCUCAUCCCAGUCCAAUGUGAGGUGGGGGGGUCUCAUCCCAGUCCAAUGUGAGGUGGGGGGGUCUCAUCCCAGUCCAAUGUGAGGUGGGGGGUCCAUCCCAGUCCAAUGUGAGGUGGGGGGUCUCGUCCCAGUCCAAGGUGAGGUGGGCGGGUCCGUCCCGAGUCCAAUGUGAGGUGAGGCGGUCUCGUCCCAGUCCAAUGUGAGGUGGGGGGUCUCGUCCCAGUCCAAUGGCAUCAUGAUCAUAAUGCUGAGGCGAUGGUAAAGAGUAAACACUGGGAAGCUUUAUCUUGACUUUCAUUGAACUUCACAAGCCACGUGUCAGUUUCUCGCACUGAACACACCCUCAU
rnacentral:lncRNA from 1 species